rnacentral:rRNA from 1 species
AUUGAACGCUGGCGGUAUGCUUAACACAUGCAAGUCGAACGGUAGCAGGCCUUCGGGCGCUGACGAGUGGCGGACGGGUGAGUAACGCGUAGGAAUCUGCCUCAUAGUGGGGGACAACGUGGGGAAACUCACGCUAAUACCGCAUACGCCCUACGGGGGAAAGCGGGGGCUCUUCGGACCUCGCGCUAUGAGAUGAGCCUGCGUUAGAUUAGCUAGUUGGUCGGGUAAAAGCCUACCAAGGCGACGAUCUAUAGCUGGUCUGAGAGGACGAUCAGCCACACUGGGACUGAGACACGGCCCAGACUCCUACGGGAGGCAGCAGUGGGGAAUAUUGGACAAUGGGCGCAAGCCGGAUCCAGCAAUACCGCGUGUGUGAAGAAGGCCCUAGGGUUGUAAAGCACUUUCAAUUGGGAGGAAAGCCUGCCGGUCAAUACCCGGCAGCUUGACAUUACCUUUAGAAGAAGCACCGGCUAACUCCGUGCCAGCCGCCGCAGUAAAAC